rnacentral:rRNA from 1 species
GACGAACGCUGGCGGCAUGCCUAACACAUGCAAGUCGAACGGAGAUUAUUUCGGUACUCUUAGUGGCGAACGGGUGAGUAACGCGUGGGCAACCUGCCCUCUAGAUGGGGACAACAUCCCGAAAGGGGUGCUAAUACCGAAUGUGACAGCAAUCUCGCAUGAGGAUGCUGUGAAAGAUGGCCUCUAUUUAUAAGCUAUCGCUAGAGGAUGGGCCUGCGUCUGAUUAGCUAGUUGGUGGGGUAACGGCCUACCAAGGCGAUGAUCAGUAGCCGGUCUGAGAGGAUGAACGGCCACAUUGGGACUGAGACACGGCCCAGACUCCUACGGGAGGCAGCAGUGGGGAAUCUUCCGCAAGGGGCGAAAGCCUGACGGAGCAAUGCCGCGGGAGGGAUGAAGGAAUUCGUUCCGUAAAGCUCUUUUGUUUAUGACGAAUGUGCAGAUUGUGAACAAUGAUCUGUAAUGACGGUAGUAAACGAAUAAGCCACGGCUAACUACGUG